rnacentral:lncRNA from 1 species
CGGCCCCUCCCUGUUGGGCAGCAGCACUCCUCACCGUCCUUCUGGGACCAUCACGGCCCAGAAAGUCCUGUCAGCUCAGCAGGGUCAAGCCAGGGAAGCUGCGCCUUCCAGAAAGGAGGGGGAAGAGGCCGAGCCUGGACUCUGGACCCGUGAGCCAGGCCCGAGCUGAGCCGCAGAUGCUGUCCAGCCACCUGAACCAGGUGGCCUGUGAGCCUUCCAUCUGUGAGCAGAGACCGGGUCAGAAGUCUCUCCCGCAGGCAGGUACCUGCACGGUGGCCGGCGCUGGGCAGGGUGUGUGAACGGUGCUGAGCGGUGCCCCUGGGGACGCGGGACGUCACGCACCUGGGCGAGUCGGCUGCUCCCUUCCUUCUCACCGCACCGUGUCAGCCCAGCUGAGGCCCGGAGUCUUCCCGGGGCAGCUCCCGGGCUCUGACAGCCGAGGCGAGAGGCGGCUUUGUCGUCCAGGCCGCGAACACAGGCCCCGAGGUCCUGCUGAAGUGGACUAGGAGUUCUGGUCCCUUUGUCCGGACGUAGGAGGCUCGGAGUCUGCGUGCACGUGGCGUCAGCGAGCGGCUGGAGGAGGCUCCCUGGCGAGCUGGGAGGGAGCCACCGUGCCUCCCGUCUUCCCGGGACUUGGACUGCACAGGUGUGUGUGUGUGUGUGUGUGUGUGAGUGUGCAAGUAAGUGUGCAUGUGAGUGUGAGUUGAAUGGGUAUGAAUGUGUGAGUCUGAUGUAUGUGAGCGUGAGUUCAGUGGGGUGGGUGUGUCACACACGGUGAUGACUCCCGGAUCCUCCCGUCCCUCUCCCGGGGCUGCAGGUCAGCCCAGGCCACAGGACGCAUUCCUGGUCACUGUCAUUCCCACUGAACCUGCUUUAGUGGCCCCUUCUUUAGAACAGGGGGGUUGACGUCUCUGUGAUCUGGUCCUCUGGGCACCCACGGGGAGACCGAGGCCCGGGGUCCUCAGCUCUGACCACCCCCCGCCCCGCCUCCCUCUGAGGCCCUCGGGUGCCCGGUCUGUGGGUCUGAGGAGAGUGGCAGCCGUGACUUCUGCACAGUUUGCUGGGGGCCAGGUGGCUCAAGCCCACAGCAGCGCCCCGUAUUUGCAAGUGACCGAGUGUCACCUCUGUGCUGUCCAGAGUCUUUUGCAGACAUGCUGGCCAACGUCUGAGGUCUCCCUGCCGUGACCUCCCCACCAGGCCUGCCUGCCAGGGCCCCAGGGCCUCCGGGGGCUGCCCUCUCUGCCCAGGGGUCGUCUGACCGUGGGACUGCGUGUGACCCUCCACACAACUUUGGCUCUGGGUGAUUUUCUGUACACAAGUGAUGCCCUCUGUCCCAGUGACCUCAUCUUUCUGCAGCUCCCCUGAACUGUCCAGCUGGCAGGACCCCAGGAGGGCCAUCAGGGCCUGAGGACUGUCCACCCACUUCCCUCAGAUCCUGGGCAGUAGGCCAGCCUGGGCUUAUGUCUCCCACUGCACAGGAGAGGGCUGUGGUCCCCAGUGGAGCGGGGGCUGGGCCAGCCACCUGGUGCCUCCACGGGCUCCUGCCGUGCUGAGCGUCUCCCCAGAGGCCUGUGUCUGACCGCCCAGCUCCCCCUCUGUGCCCACAUCAUGUGGGCACUAGACGGGGCCGGACACAGACACUACCUCACCAGCCCGGGCCUGCCAGCUGUGGGACCACGGCCAUGGCUAGCCGGCCAGUCUAGGAGAGGGGACAGAAGUUCCCGAGUUUGCCUCAAGCAGGCCGUGGACCCAGGUGGGUGCAUACCGUGCGAGGCUCUGGCUCCUCCUGGGGUGGCAGGCUUGCUGCGUUCACCGGGCAGAGCAGGGAGGCGUCUCUGCUGGGAGCCAGGCGCUGUGGACGACCCUUGACCCCUUGGCCGGUGGUCUCAGAAACCCUUCAUAAUGACUCUGAGAGGUAGAGACCCCUGUGCCCAUUUGACAGGUGGGGCCCGAGAGGUAAAGUGACUAAUUCAGGGUCUUACAGCUGGGGGGUCAGGAGGAGUCAAGGCGCCAGAGCCAGGCCUGCCUGGCUCCAGAGCACUUCCCCCAGGCCACAUGGCCCUUCUAAGGACAGGAAGGCCCGACGGGCUCCUGGAAUCUCACCAAUGAGCCUCUGGCUGGGUGCGGAGCUGGGUGGAACCUUCCCAUGGUGAGGAGGGUAAGAGGCCGCCCCGGGGCUGUUGCUGUUCUGUCCCGGAGGCUGGGCCACCUUUGGCCCCCUUCUCCUCCAAGAACAUGAUGUAGGGGCCUCAGGGAGCGUUGGGCAGAAAACCUUUCCCUUAUCCCCAAGAGGCCCCGGGCCCUGUUUGGGGGUCCGAACCUGGGGACCCAGGGAGCGCCAUCUCCAUGUGGCCAGCUCUGAAGCAGUGGUGUCCCCAUUUGUCCUCUCAUGGCCUCCAAGCCAGCACCAUCCUGAGUCCGGGCUGGCGUGCAGGCAGGGCUCACUGGGGAGACUUGACCCCGACUCGGGCAGGGUACGGCCUGGGCUCAGUGACAGGAAGGACAGGAAGGGAUGGGUGGAAUCAUGAACCGACUCUGGCAAGAGCACAUUUAACCAGGUUCGCUUGUUGGACUAGAUGACGGGCAGAGCCAGUCCACUUGGGUAGAAGUCAGGUGGGACCAAUGCAGCCCUUCCCAGCCUUGGCACCUGGACAUGGGGGCUGCGUAAUCCUCCAUGCUGGGGCCGUCCUGGGCGCUGCGGAUGCUGAGCAGCACCCCUGGCCUCUGCCCACUGAUGCCAGCAGCACCCUCUCACUGGGACAAUCAGAAUGUCAGUGGACAUUGCCAGAUGUCGCCUGGGGCAACGUUGCCCGGGUGGACAGCCACUGGACUAGAGGUUACCCAUGGACAUUCCUGGGGACCUGAGACAGUUCUCUUUCAAAUCUGGGGGUGGGCACAAGGUAUGUUCACGUUGUGGAAAUUCACAAGCUAUACAUUUAUGAUACUCUCUGUUCUGUAUGUACGUUAUAGCCAGCCAAAAUUUUAUUUAAUAAGUUCAUUAAAAAAGUUCAAAAAAGGGGCCAGCCCAGUGGCAUAGUGGUUAAGUUCGUGUGCUCCGCUUCAGAGGCCUGGGGUUCGUGUGUUCAGAUCCUGGGCGCAGACCUACACACGGCUCAUCAAAACCAUGCUCUGACAGCAUCUCACAUACAAAGAGGAAGGCUGGCACACAUGUUAGCUCAGCAACAAUCUUCCUCAGGCAAAAAGAGGAAGAUUGGCAACAGAUGUUAGCUCAUGGCCAGUCUUCCUCACCAGAAAAAAAAAAAAAAAGCAUGAAAAUAGGAUGAAGGACAUAUCUAAGUUUUCCGGGUCUUCAUCAACAGUGAACUCUGAGGGUGUCAACAAUGGGAUAGAGUCUCAAAAAACCCCCAAAGGAAUCAGUCUGAGGCUGCUUUGAAAAACUAGAGAGGUAGGCCAAGGAAAGGCCAGCUGUGAACUCAGCCUGAUGGUCAAGCGUUGGUGGAUGGGGUUCCCAUCGUGACCCCGCACUUUUAGGAGAUUCCUGUGCUCUGAGUCUCCCAGGGCCGAGCACACAGUAGGUCUCGGGACCACACUGAGCGCGUGCAGCCUGCACAGUGAUAGGGACAGCCAAGUGUGUGCGAGGCGUUUUCUGAGCUUUUCCCUGAACUGCUCCCACGCUCCAGGGAACAGAAGACAAGCGUUUCUGCAUUGUUGUUUGGACAGUUAACAGCAAACCUGGACGUGCCCUAGAGGGGCCAUGAUGGGAGACGGCAGGCACGUGAUCGCGUCUCUGCAGAUUGGAAAGUUAGGCAGGAAUUAACCUCUGUGCUUGGAGAAAGGUUUCAUGUUGCACAGUGUGAAGUGGGGAAGCAGGGCUGACAUUUACCGACGGCAGGACCUCAAUGCCACAAGACACACACAGAAAAGAGACGGGAACAUCCAAGAACUAAAUGCACACAGAGCUCCCCCAUGUUCACGGACAGGAAGCCUCGGUGCUGGCAAGACGUCAGUUUCCUGACGUGAUCUGCAGACUCAAAGCGCCCAUCAGAAGCCCAGCAAGUGAUUCUGUGUCUGUCGAUCAGAGGCCGAGGGCACUCACCCCAACGCCGGCAGACGCUGUGGCUGCGUGCUGACAUUACCAAUGAUUUUAAUUUUUUCUUCGUGUCUUUAUGCAAUGAACAUAUUACUUCGAGCAUUAGAAAAGGGAAAUAAACUGGUUUUUAAGGACAAAUGAAGGAAGAGGAAGAGCAAGCAGAGGGGCCGGGCGGAUGAGUUCAGCAGCACAGUCUCUUUGGAGUCGGCUGGAGGGGGCCCAGGGGUAUCACUGGCCCUCCCCGGUGCCUGGCAGCCCCUCCUGUCUGAGGACUCGGAUGGGAGAUAGUCCGGCAGCGAGGUCAGCUCGGGGUUGGCCGGGAAUCUGGGCCCCUCUGCACUGCAGUCUGCAGGGGGAGGCCUGGGAAGCAGCCAGUUUCUACGGUCUGGAUGGGCCGAGAGGGGAUUGUUUCUCCAGCUGGGGUCCUUUCUUUUAAAAGGCCUUUAAAACAAAUGAUGGAGCCGAUACUGUGCGAAACCCAACCGCAGUUCCUCACGGUCAAGCUCCGUCCACAGAGCCUGCAGCAGAAAGGCCCCGCGGAGGCCCCAGGGCAGGUGCAGCCUUGCUCCUCACGCUCUGCUCAGCCUUCACAGCCUGGCUCUGGCGCCAUCUCCUCCAGGAGGGCCCCCUGAUUUCCUGGGCCCACAGUGCUCCCUCUCUCUCCUGCAGUCCUAAUGCACUUGACCUGCCCCAUCCCGGGUCCUGGAGCUCUCUCUCCCUUGGCGAAGGCUGCCCUUAGGAAGCCUCAGCAGAGGAGAGGGGAGGGGAGGGAGCGUCAAGGAGUGGGUCCCGGCUGUGGGCACCUGGGGCUCCAUCCCAGUGGGGCUCCCUGGGAAAAUACAUGGAGCCCACCUCGAGUGGCCCCACCGAGGCACGAGGAAGCUGACGCCAUCCACAAGUGGCGAUCCCUGGCUCCCCGAGGGCCGCUCCUGGGCGUUGCCUCCCCGGCACGUGGGGCCUGCCCUGGGCACUGGCUGGCACAUCCCAGGCUGGUCCUUUGGCCUGAUAGCGCCACAGGCAGACACAUAGAGCAGCCCCUGGCUGGAGUGACGGACAGUCGGCAGGUAAGCUGGCUGGGGGCGGCGCUGCCACCCUGCCUGCUCUUGUGUCCUCGGCUGGCUGGGGCCUCUGAGGCUGCACCCCCACGGCCUGCACGGAAGGAGUGUUGGAUGCACAGCACGUGCCCGGGAUCCAGGGAGGCCGCCCGCCCCUUCCCGGAGCCCUCCCUCCUCGGGCCCAGAGCAAGUAUGCGGGAGCUUUGAUGAAGAAAACAGGGAGCAAGGAGGGUCCGUGCCAGCUCUGACCCGGUCCUGGAGGCAUGACAACGUAUUCUUUCACUCAACAAGUAUUUCUCGUCCGCCCCGUGUCUGCCUGGCCCUGAGCCUGAGCCUGCACGGAGGCUGGGAGAGGCUCAGAGACCCCGACCCAAAAGCGGGACCCUCAGACCCUAUAAAACAGGCAGAGGCUCAGGGUGGGCCUGGGCCGUGGCUUUGCAGGCAGCGUGCGUGGCGCUCACGGCCUGCCUGGAAUCAGACAGACCCAGGCUCACAGUGCAGCUCCGCCACCUUCGUGCUGUGUGGCCUGGGCACACCCCUUCACCUCUCUGAGCGUGUCUCCUCAUCCGCAAAAGUGGGAAAAAGAGUCACUUACAGGGUCAUCAGAGGGUGGAUGACAGCCCGGACAUCAAGUGCUCAGAGCGAUGCUGUCCCGGUGGUGAGUGGUCAACACGGUGUCACUAUGGUAACAGGCUCCCAGCCCAGAAUUUGCAUCUGAGAGCAAAGGAUGCUACGUGCCCACUCCUUCUGAAGGAAGAGCCAGCACUUCUCUGAGGGGCGACUGAGAGGUGAUGGAGGGGUGACUGAGGGGUGAGUGAGGGGC